GCGGAGGUAGCUCAGCCUGGACUAAGGCGCCGGUCUUGAAAACCGGUGGCGUCUCGCCCCGGGGGUUCGAAUCCCUCCCUCCGCG
rnacentral:tRNA from 1 species